GACGAACGCUGGCGGCGUGCUUAACACAUGCAAGUCGAACGGAAAGGCCCUGCUUUUGUGGGAUGCUCGAGUGGCGAACGGGUGAGUAACACGUGAGUAACCUGCCCUUGACUUUGGGAUAACUUCAGGAAACUGGGGCUAAUACCGGAUAGGAGCUCCUGCUGCAUGGUGGGGGUUGGAAAGUUUCGGCGGUUGGGGAUGGACGCGCGGCUUAUCAGCUUGUUGGUGGGGUAGUGGCUUACCAAGGCUUUGACGGGUAGCCGGCCUGAGAGGGUGACCGGCCACAUUGGGACUGAGAUACGGGCCAGAGUGCUACGGGAGGCAGCAGUGGGGAAUAUUGCACAAUGGGCGGAAGCCUGAUGGAGCAACGUCGCGUGCGGGAUGACGGCCUUCGGGUUGUAAACCGCGUUAGCCUGUGACGAAGCGUGAGUGACGGUAAUGGGUAAAGAAGCACCGGCUAACUACGUG
rnacentral:rRNA from 1 species